AUUCCAGCUCCAAUAGCGUAUACUAAAGUUGUUGCAGUUAAAAAGCUCGUAGUUGAAUUUCUGGUCUCGGACAGCGGUCUGCCUCAAACGAGGUACGCACCACCUGUUCAGGUCCAUCCUCGGAGAAAACAUGCCUGUGAUUCAGUUCAUGGGUAUGGGAUCUUCGUCAUUUACUGUGAGCAAAAUAUAGUGUUCAAAGCAGGCUUAUGCCGUUGAAUACAUUAGCAUGGAAUAAUAAAAUAAGACCUUGGUCUAUUUUGUUGGUUUGUACUCCAAGGUAACGAUUAAUAGGGAUAGUUGGGGGUAUUCGUAUUCAAUUGUCAGAGGUGAAAUUCUUGGAUUUAUGGAAGACGAACUACUGCGAAAGCAUUUACCAAGGAUGUUUUCAUCG
rnacentral:rRNA from 1 species